rnacentral:rRNA from 1 species
AGUGAACGCUGGCGGUAGGCCUAACACAUGCGAGUCGAACGGCAGCACAGUAAGGGCUUGCUCUUACGGGUGGCGAGUGGCGGACGGGUGAGGAAUACAUCGGAAUCUGCUUUUUCGUGGGGGAUAACGUAGGGAAACUUACGCUAAUACCGCAUACGACCUACGGGUGAAAGCAGGGGAUCUUCGGACCUUGCGCGAUUGAAUGAGCCGAUGUCGGAUUAGCUAGUUGGCGGGGUAAAGGCCCACCAAGGCGACGAUCCGUAGCUGGUCUGAGAGGAUGAUCAGCCACACUGGAACUGAGACACGGUCCAGACUCCUACGGGAGGCAGCAGUGGGGAAUAUUGGACAAUGGGCGCAAGCCUGAUCCAGCCAUACCGCGUGGGUGAAGAAGGCCUUCGGGUUGUAAAGCCCUUUUGUUGGGAAAGAAAAGCAGCAGGUUAAUACCCCGCUGUUCUGACGGUACCCAAAGAAUAAGCACCGGCUAACUUCGUG